GAUGAACGCUGGCGGCGUGCCUAAUACAUGCAAGUCGAGCGAACAGACGAGGAGCUUGCUCCUCUGACGUUAGCGGCGGACGGGUGAGUAACACGUGGAUAACCUACCUAUAAGACUGGGAUAACCUCGGGAAACCGGAGCUAAUACCGGAUAAUAUAUUGAACCGCAUGGUUCAAUAGUGAAAGACGGUUUUGCUGUCACUUAUAGAUGGAUCCGCGCCGCAUUAGCUAGUUGGUAAGGUAACGGCUUACCAAGGCAACGAUGCGUAGCCGACCUGAGAGGGUGAUCGGCCACACUGGAACUGAGACACGGUCCAGACUCCUACGGGAGGCAGCAGUAGGGAAUCUUCCGCAAUGGGCGAAAGCCUGACGGAGCAACGCCGCGUGAGUGAUGAAGGUCUUCGGAUCGUAAAGCUCUGUUAUUAGGGAAGAACAGAUGUGUAAGUAACUAUGCACGUCUUGACGGUACCUAAUCAGAAAGCCACGGCUAACUACGUG
rnacentral:rRNA from 1 species